CCCAUCCCUAGAAGCAGGGCAGGUACGGCUGCUGUGUCACAUGUACAUCAGUAGGGGGCAGAGAGGAGAGAGGCUGUGACUGUGCUCAGUGUUCUGACCUGUGAACAUCUGAAUGAUCAGUAGCCUAACAUU